rnacentral:rRNA from 1 species
GAUGAACGCUGGCGGCGUGCCUAAUACAUGCAAGUCGAACGGGGAGUAGCAAUACUCUUAGUGGCGAACGGGUGAGUAACGCGUUGGUACCUGCCCCGAAGCGGGGGAUAACGGACCGAAAGGUCCGCUAAUACCCCAUGUGCUCGGUAACGAGUAAAGGUGAAAACCACUUUGGGAGGGGCCUGCGUCCCAUCAGCUAGUUGGUAAGGUAACGGCUUACCAAGGCGAUGACGGGUAGGGGACCUGAGAGGGUGGCCCCCCACAAUGGAACUGAAACACGGUCCAUACACCUACGGGUGGCAGCAGUAGGGAAUAUUGGUAAUGGGCGCAAGCCUGAACCAGCAACGCCGCGUGUGCGAUGACGGCCUUCGGGUUGUAAAGCACUUUUGACUGGGACAAGGAAGGACGGUACCGGUCGAAUCAGCCUCGGCUAACUACGUG